rnacentral:rRNA from 1 species
ACUACGGGAGGCUGCAGUGAGGAAUAUUGGUCAAUGGACGAGAGUCUGAACCAGCCAAGUAGCGUGAAGGAUGAAUGCCCUAUGGGUUGUAAACUUCGUUUAUAAAGGAAUAAAACGAGGCACGUGUGCCUUUUUGCAUGUACUUUAUGAUUAAGGAUCGGCUAACUCCGUGCCAGCAGCCGCGGUAAUAGGGGGGAUACGAGCGUUAUCCGGAUUUAUUGGGUUUAAAGGGAGCGUAGAUGGGUUGUUAAGUCAGUUGUGAAAGGUUGCGGCUCAACCGUAAAAUUGCAAUUGAUACUGGCAGUCUUGAGUACAGUUGAGGUAGGCGGAAUUCGUGGUGUAGCGGUGAAAUGCUUAGAUAUCACGAAGAACCCCGAUUGCGAAGGCAGCUUACUAAACUGUGACUGACAUUGAUGCUCGAAAGUGUGGGUAGCAAACAGGAUUAGAUACCCCUGUAGUC